GGUCCAAUCGUAUAGUGGCUUAUUAUGCUGUCUUAGGGUUCGGACGUUUCUAAAAACGCAGAAACUGUAUGACAGAGGUCCUGGGUUCGAUUCCCAGUUGGACCC
rnacentral:tRNA from 1 species